GGUUAAGCGACUAAGCGUACACGGUGGAUGCCCUGGCAGUCAGAGGCGAUGAAGGACGUGCUAAUCUGCGAUAAGCGUCGGUAAGGUGAUAUGAACCGUUAUAACCGGCGAUUUCCGAAUGGGGAAACCCAGUGUGAUUCGUCACACUAUCAUUAACUGAAUCCAUAGGUUAAUGAGGCGAACCGGGGGAACUGAAACAUCUAAGUACCCCGAGGAAAAGAAAUCAACCGAGAUUCCCCCAGUAGCGGCGAGCGAACGGGGAGCAGCC
rnacentral:rRNA from 1 species